GUCGGGAUAGCUCAGUUGGUAGAGCAGAGGACUGAAAUUCUCGU
rnacentral:tRNA from 1 species